UUCAUGUCUCCCCUUUUUAGACCAUAUAGGGUAACUUCCAGACGUUACCAAGGCAUUUGUAAACUGUCUUGGAGCUGGUGAGAGUGUGGCAGUGAGGACGACCAGAGGUCACUGUCAUCAUCAUCUUGGUUUGGGUGGGUUUUAGCUGUCUUCUUUAUUGCAGCCUGUUUUAUCAGCAAGGUCUUUAUGACCUGUAUUCUGUGCUGAUCUUUUAUCUCAUCCUGUGACCUAGAAUACCUAACCAUCAGGGAACGCAGCCCAGUAAGUCUCAGCCUCAUUUUACCCAGCUCCUAUUCAAGAUGGAGUUGCUCUGGUUCAAAUGCCUCUGACAAGUCUAUUACUGUGGCCAUUUUACAAACAAGGUGACUGAGGCUCAGAAAGGUGGCAUUGUUCACUCAUACCCACAGAGCUAAGACAGAGCGGAAGUGGGAUUCAAACCCAGGUCUGCAGGAUUUGGAGGUUUCCUCCAAACCCAUCCUCUUUCCAGAACACCUACUCCCUUCAAAUCAAUCUUCCAUUUGGGGGCUAUGAACACAUAUCCUUAGUCCAGAUCUUUCAGAGACUAAAUAAAAAACGUUCCAUCUUGAUUCCUUUUUUUUUUUUAACUUCAAGACAGGGUCUCACUAUGUUGCGCAGGCUGGUCUUGAACUCUUGGACUGAAAGGAUCCUACCGCCUUGGCCUCUGGAGUAGCUGGGACUACAGACGUGCACAAUGCCCCCGCCCCGCCAGCCCGACAUCAAGCAUUCUUGAUGGUGGGUUUCUCAGAACCUCUCCAGCCUGCUUCACCAAGGUUCUCAGGAAACCAGGGGAAUGGUGACCUGCUACCAGAAAUCUCGUCACUGCUUUUGCAGAAUUAACAUCAUCCAUCAGCGCCACUGCCCUGGAGGGGCUGGGAGUGUAGGGAGACAGGCAGCUUCAGCCUGCAGGGUUACACCCUGGAGACAUCCACAAGAGACUCAAUUUACUUCUGGACAGAAACCAGCAGGAUCUCCUUGUGCCAUGGCCCCCAGGCCAAGGACUUACUACUCUUCUAUUGGAACCAACUCCAACAACCUUCUGCUUCUACUAAUCAGACACAAGGCAGCAUCUGGGGUGGGAGUAGGUUGGAAAGGAGUGAGCUUCUGUUUUAUUUUUCCUUCUUCAGCAAUCGCGAAGGUAUAUCCACGCAGUAGAGAUGACAUGACCUGGAAUCGAAUUCUGGCUCCACCACUGCCUAGCCAUUGAUCUCGGCCAAAUCACUUAGCAUUCCUAAGCCUCAGUCGCUUCUGUGUUAAAAGGGCUUAUAAUACCUACCACAAAUGUUGUGAUCAGUGGUGCUGGUCAAUGUUUAAUAACUAGUUCUCUGGAGGAAAACCCUGGUAUAUAGCAUUUGCCCAUUUCUAUGGUGUAAAUACUCCCACCAAAGUCAAUCUCAAACUCCCAAGGGGAGGUCACUGAACACAGAGUUGGGAAGACAGGCACAGGAGCAGACACUGUAGAGAAUUUUCACCAAACAGAUAUCAUAAUCUUAAGAGCAUAGGUAAUGGGAGAACAUAGUAAAUUAAGAAGUGAGGAGUUUUAGUGUUAUUACUUUUAUCUUUCAAUUCAAUGUAUCUAUUUAAUUGUAAGUUUAUAUAAUUUUUUAUUUUUUUUCGAGACAGUCUCACUCUGUUGUCCAGGCUGGAGUGCAGUGGCACCAUUUUGCUCACUGCAACCUCUGUCUCCCAGGUUCAAGCGAUUCUCCUGCCUCAGCCUCCCGAGUAGCUGGGAUUACAGACACACACCACCACACCCAGCUAAUUUUUGUAUUUUUUGUAUUGACGGAGUUUCAUCAUGUUGGCCAGGCUGAUCUCCAACUCCUGGCCUCCAGUGAUCCGCCCACCUCGGCCUCCCAAAGUGCUGGGAUUACAGGCGUGAGUCACCACGCCCAGCCCAUACAAUUUCUUUUCUUUUCUUUUCUUUUCCUCUUUUUUGAGACAGGGUCUUGCUCUGUCACCCAGGCUGGAGUGCAGUGGUGUGAUCAUGGCUCACUGCAACCUCAACUUCCCAGGCUGAAGUGAUCCUCCCACCUCAUGAGGAGCUGGAAUUACAGGUGCAUGCUACCACGCCUGGCUAUCUUUUUAAUUCUUUUGUAGAGACAAGGUCUCCCUAUGUUACCCAGGCUGGUCUUGAACUCCUAGGCUGACGUGAUCCUCCCAGCUUGGCCUCCCAAAGUGCUGGGAUUACAGGAGUGAGCCACCACGCCCCACCAGUUCAUAUAAUUUCUUUAAAAUAAUAGUUGUGCCUUCCUGUUCUCAAAAAUCCAAUACCCUAGGAGACAUAGGGAGCCAGGUUUAGCGGUAGAGGGGAUGAAUUUGCAGGUAACUAAAGAACAGUAUAGUUGAUUGGGAGGUUCAGGGCCUGCAGUGUGCAGUGGAACUGACCUGUACUCGCCCUGCUUCCCCAAACGGGUGACCUUGGUCAAGCACUCCCAUUUCUCUGCUUCAGUGUGCUCAUUCAUAAAAUAAUCAUCUGCUCGUCGGGUUAAUGCCAGUUCUAAAUGAGAUGAUCUGGGGAAAACUUUUAGCACAGAGCCUGGCAUAUAGUAACAGCUCAAUAAAUGGUGGCAGCCCUCAUUAGUGAUGUGAUAAUUGUGCUAAUGGGGAAGCGUACACAUUGCAUCUGCAUUGGGAGCCUGGCCAAGGUACAGAUUAAGGUGCUGGGUUCAGGCCAAGCUCGAGGAAGCAAACGAGGGCUGCAGUUUACGCCGGAAAAUUAGGUGGGUGUUGACUUGGGCAGAUGGCAGCCCAGCCCUUAAAAAAAAAAAAAAAAGUCCGGAAAUAGGAACAUUGGAUGCAUGCCUCUCUCUCUAGGGUGGGAACAAGGGACAGGAGAGCAAAUCAAUGGGCUUAAAAAGUCAAAGCAGGUCAAGUGGGCCGGGUGUGGUGGCUCAUGCCUGUAAUCCCAGCUCCUUGGGAGGCCAAGGUGAGCGAAUCACCUGAGGUCAGGAGUUCAAGACCAGCCUGGCCAAUAUGGUGAAACCCCGUCUCCACUAAACAUACAAAAAUUAGCCAGGCGUGGUGGCACAUGCCUGUAACCGCACCUACUUGGGAGGCUGAGGAAAGAGAAUCACCUGAACCCGGGAGGCGGAGGCUUCAGUGAGCCAAGAUUGUGCCACUGCGCUCCAACCUGGGCAAUAGAGUGAGACUCCAUCUCAAAAAAUAAAAUAAGGCUGGGUGCCAUGGUUCAUGCCUGUAAUCCCAACGCUUGGGGAGGCUGAGGCGGGCAGAUCACCUGAGGCCAGGAGUUCAAGACCAGCGUGGCCAACAUGGUGAAAUCCCAUCUCUACUAAAAAUACAAAAAUUAGAUGGGCAUGGUGGCAUGUACAUGUAAUCUCAGCUACUCAGGAGACUGAGGCACAAGAAUCAUUUGAACCCUGGAGGCGGAGUUUUCAGGGAGCUGAGAUCCGGCCACUGCACUCCAGCCUGGGCAACAGAUUGAGGCUCUGUCUCAAUAAAAUAAAAUAAAAUAAAAUGAAUAAAAUAAAAUAAAAUAAACCCAGGUCAACUGCUCCAAGGAACAGUCUGCCUUCACCUGUCAGCAUUUGUGGAGGCUAGUGAAGCACAUGCUGUUGUUGGCGUGGAGAAUCAUGAACUGAUGGUGGUGGCUGUAUGAACCGCUUCGUGGGCAGUGGAUCCGACCAGAGCUGAACUUUAGAAAAGAUCUGUUGCUUGGAUAAGGAACAGAUUCGGUUGCUCAACCCAACCUGCCCUUAUCGCCAAUGACCCAGCUCAACGUUCUCUCUGGUUUAGAGGAAAACAAACAGGACGUUAGGAAGUAACCAGAUCAGAUGGUCAGAGGUGGAUCUAGGGGGAGCCGGGACACUCUCUAACGCUCCUCCAGCAGGAGAUGUCCUGGGCGGUGCCUAGAGGAAUGUGAUGGCUUCACACAUGUGGAAGAGCCUAGCGAGUGAGGCUCCCUGCAGCUAUGGAUGUCCACUGCAGCCUCAUGUCCUGGCCUCGCCCUCCCAGUAUGAGCUUGGAAUUUUCUUAAACAAGAAAUUUCCAGUGUUGGCCAGGCGCAGUCCCAGCACCUUUGGAGGCUGAGGCGGGUGGGUCACCUGAGGUCAGGAGUUCGAGACCAGCCUGGCUAACAUGGUGAAAUUCUGUCUGUACUAAAAAAUACAAAAAUUAGCUGGGCCUGGUGGCGUGUGCCUGUAGUUCCAGCUACUUAGGAGGCGGAAGCAGGAGAAUCGCUUGAACCUGGGAGGCAGACAUUGCAGUGAGCCAAGAUCACGCCACCGCACUCCAGCCUGGGCAACAGAGUGCCUCA
rnacentral:lncRNA from 1 species